UGGAGAGUUUGAUCCUGGCUCAGGACGAACGCUGGCGGCGUGCUUAACACAUGCAAGUCGAACGGAAAGGCCCUUCGGGGUACUCGAGUGGCGAACGGGUGAGUAACACGUGGGUGAUCUGCCCUGCACUUUGGGAUAAGCCUGGGAAACUGGGUCUAAUACCGAAUAUGACCGCGCACUUCCUGGUGUGUGGUGGAAAGCUUUUGCGGUGUGGGAUGGGCCCGCGGCCUAUCAGCUUGUUGGUGGGGUAAUGGCCUACCAAGGCGACGACGGGUAGCCGGCCUGAGAGGGUGACCGGCCACACUGGGACUGAGAUACGGCCCAGACUCCUACGGGAGGCAGCAGUGGGGAAUAUUGCACAAUGGGCGCAAGCCUGAUGCAGCGACGCCGCGUGAGGGAUGACGGCCUUCGGGUUGUAAACCUCUUUCAAUAGGGACGAAGCGCAAGUGACGGUACCUAUAGAAGAAGGACCGGCGAACUACGUGCCAGCAGCCGCGGUA
rnacentral:rRNA from 1 species